GGGCGAUUGGGCCCGACGGUUUGAUCCUGGCUCAGAUUGAACGCUGGCGGCAUGCCUUACACAUGCAAGUCGAACGGCAGCACGGGAGCAAUCCUGGUGGCGAGUGGCGAACGGGUGAGUAAUGUAUCGGAACGUACCUUUCAGUGGGGGAUAACGUAGCGAAAGUUACGCUAAUACCGCAUAUUCUGUGAGCAGGAAAGCAGGGGAUCGCAAGACCUUGCGCUGAUUGAGCGGCCGAUAUCAGAUUAGCUAGUUGGUGGGGUAAAGGCCUACCAAGGCGACGAUCUGUAGCGGGUCUGAGAGGAUGAUCCGCCACACUGGAACUGAGACACGGUCCAGACUCCUACGGGAGGCAGCAGUGGGGAAUUUUGGACAAUGGGGGCAACCCUGAUCCAGCCAUGCCGCGUGAGUGAAGAAGGCCUUCGGGUUGUGAAGCUCUUUCAGCCGGGAAGAAAUCGCACGGGCUAAUACCCUGUGUGGAUGACGGUACCGGAAUAAGAAGCACCGGCUAACUACGUGCCAGCAGCCGCGGUAAUACGUAGGGUGCGAGCGUUAAUCGGAAUUACUGGGCGUAAAGCGUGCGCAGGCGGUUUAGUAAGACAGGCGUGAAAUCCCCGGGCUCAACCUGGGAACUGCGCUUGUGACUGCUAAGCUAGAGUACGGCAGAGGGGGGGUGGAAUUCCACGUGUAGCAGUGAAAUGCGUAGAGAUGUGGAGGAACACCAAUGGCGAAGGCAGCCCCCUGGGUCGAUACUGACGCUCAUGCACGAAAGCGUGGGUAGCAAACAGGAUUAGAUACCCUGGUAGUCCACGCCCUAAACGAUGUCAACUAGGUGUUGGGUGGGUAAAACCAUUUAGUACCGGAGCUAACGCGUGAAGUUGACCGAGAGCUCCCAACGC
rnacentral:rRNA from 1 species